GACGAACGCUGGCGGCGUGCUUAACACAUGCAAGUCGAACGGAAAGGCCCUGCUUGCAGGGUACUCGAGUGGCGAACGGGUGAGUAACACGUGGGUGAUCUGCCCUGUACUUCGGGAUAAGCCUGGGAAACUGGGUCUAAUACCGGAUAGGAGCCAUUCUUAGUGUGAUGGUUGGAAAGUUUUUUCGGUGUAGGAUGAGCUCGCGGCCUAUCAGCUUGUUGGUGGGGUAAUGGCCUACCAAGGCGGCGACGGGUAGCCGGCCUGGGGGGGUGGACGGCCACAAUGGGGCUGGGGUACGGCCCAGGCUCCUUCGGGGGGGAACAGUGGGGGAUAAUGCACAAUGGGGGCAAGCCUGAUGCAGCGACGCCGCGGGGGGGAUGAAGGGCUUCGGGUUGGAAACUCCUUUCGCUAGGGACGAAGCUUUUUGUGACGGUACCUAGAUAAGAAGCACCGGCUAACUACGUG
rnacentral:rRNA from 1 species